rnacentral:lncRNA from 1 species
GGAAGGAGUCUAAGGUGAUUAGACGCCUUCAAACUAACAGGAACACGCUACUCUUCUCAGGGAACAUAACUGCAGAGGAGGAGAGUGGCAGCUGCUGCCUAUGAAUCCAUGCUGAUCUGGAGGAUGCUUCGUAUCCCACACAUACUCUUGUAUUGGUUUCACGGUAUACAUACAUGAUGGAAAAACAGGU